GCGUCAGUGGUUUAGUGGUAAAAUCCAUCGUUGCCCUCUGUAUACAGAUUCGGUGGGCCCCGCAUUCGAUUCGCGGCUGACGCA